rnacentral:lncRNA from 1 species
CGUCAGUUUUAAAAAAAAGCAUUUCCAAUUGUCACCCCAAAAAAGAAAAAAUGAAAAGAAAAAAUAAAAAAAGUGAAAAUAAAAAUUGCGACGACCUGCGAUCGAUGAUGAUGGUUGUGGUGUGAAUGGGAGGAGGAGGAGAAGUCGAAGUCGUCGGAGUCAUCCGUAUCAUGGUCGAUGAAGCCAUCGUAAUCCAUGAUGACGUCAUCCAGGUCAUCAUCAUCUCCUCCGCCGCCGUAGAAUUCAUCGUCGUCGUUCGAAUCGUCCAUCAUCAGCUCCAUCUCGUCCUCCGAUUCCAUUUCCUCUCUCUAUGUGUAUGUAUAAAUAUAUAGAUACAAAUACUUGUAUUUGUUGUACGUAUAUGUGAAGAAAAUGCGCAGGCAGACAGAAUGAAAUAUAUGGAAGCAAGAAAAAUUUUAGUGGAGGUCACCUAAGUUACACGUUUGUCUCACGUUGGUUGUUCAAUUUCAAUUUGAUUGCUUAGCUUAUAUUUUUGACGACGCUAUCUUUUCUGGGCUAGGAACAUGAAUUUCGCAUUUUCUAUUAGAAUGUGAGUUUUCCAUAGAGGUAAAUAGAAGUGGGGCAUCGAAUAGUUUGAUUUGUGUAUAUGAAAAAUCGAACUGAUUUUCAUUAAAACUAUGAAAAUCGAAUAAUUAGUUUUAUGAAACAAAAUAAUCAAAAAUUGGAGCGGAUUCUUUUACACUUCAAAAAUAAAUUAUUAAUAUAAGAUGUUGGGUAAAUUUUCUUGUUUCGAUUUUAUGACUUUUUUGUUUCAAAUAAUAAAAUGGAAAGAGUAUUAUGAAUGUGUUGAUUCAUAUAUAUUCAUAAGAAUUAUUAUUUUAUUGAGAGGUUAAUUAAAAAAUUCAAGUUUUAGUUUUGUAGUUAUAAUUCAGAACAAGAUUAGAAUCGUUCAGUUUUUUACUAUAAACCUUUGGAUCGAAUCAAUUUUAACUAGAAUCAAACUGAACCACUGGUUUCAAUAGGUGACCUAUAUGAAUUCAACAAUGUUAUGGUGGUCGAAUUUUUGUUGACAUAAUGGCUGAUCGACACUCAUAAGGAAGAUGUUUUCUUUUUGGACUUUUUUAUUCACACGAGACUUACGAGCGUGUGAGAGGAUGUCAACCAUUGUAACAAAAAAAUUCUAGCAAAGUGACUUUUUCCAUCUGAAUUUGGUUUAGGUCAGAUAAUUCCAAGUAAAAGUUUCCACUCCUAAUAGCAAGUGAUAUUCAUCAUGGAGGAGGAGGAGAAGUCGAAGUCGUCGGAGUCAUCCGUAUCAUGGUCGAUGAAGCCAUCGUAAUCCAUGAUGACGUCAUCCAGGUCAUCAUCAUCUCCUCCGCCGCCGUAGAAUUCAUCGUCGUCGUUCGAAUCGUCCAUCAUCAGCUCCAUCUCGUCCUCCGAUUCCAUUUCCUCUCUCUAUGUGUAUGUAUAAAUAUAUAGAUACAAAUACUUGUAUUUGUUGUACGUAUAUGUGAAGAAAAUGCGCAGGCAGACAGAAUGAAAUAUAUGGAAGCAAGAAAAAUUUUAGUGGAGGUCACCUAAGUUACACGUUUGUCUCACGUUGGUUGUUCAAUUUCAAUUUGAUUGCUCAGCUUAUAUUUUUGACGACGCUAUCUUUUUUGGGCUAGGAACAUGAAUUUCGCAUUUUCUAUUAGAAUGUGAGUUUUCCAUAGAGGUAAAUAGAAGUGGGGCAUCGAAUAGUUUGAUUUGUGUAUAUGAAAAAUCGAAC